GUUGUAUGGUUAAGUGACUAAGCGUACACGGUGGAUGCCUUGGCAGUCAGAGGCGAUGAAGGACGUAUUAACUUGCGAUAAGCCCAGAGAAGGUAGUAAAAACCGGUGACUCUGGGAUUUCCGAAUGGGGAAACCCACGUGCAUAAGCACGUAUCGUGUUGUGAAUACAUAGCAGCACGAGGCGAACCGGGGGAACUGAAACAUCUAAGUACCCCGAGGAAGAGAAAUCAACCGAGAUUCCGGUAGUAGCGGCGAGCGAAACCGGAUUAGCCCUUAAGCUAGUUUUGCGUUAGGUGAAAGUUCUGGAAAGUUCUGCGAUACAGGGUGAUAGCCCCGUAACCGACAACGCAUUAUCAGUGAAAACGAGUAGGACGGGACACGUGAUAUCCUGUUUGAAUAUGGGGGGACCAUCCUCCAAGGCUAAAUACUCCUGACUGACCGAUAGUGAACCAGUACCGUGAGGGAAAGGCGAAAAGAACCCCUGUGAGGGGAGUGAAAUAGAACCUGAAACCGUGUACGUACAAGCAGUAGGAGCCUACUUGUUAGGUGACUGCGUACCUUUUGUAUAAUGGGUCAGCGACUUAAUUUUAGUAGCAAGGUUAACCGUUUAGGGGAGCCGUAGGGAAACCGAGUCUUAACUGGGCGAAAUAGUUGCUAGGAUUAGACCCGAAACCGAGUGAUCUAGCCAUGGGCAGGUUGAAGGUGAGGUAACACUUACUGGAGGACCGAACCGACUAAUGUUGAAAAAUUAGCGGAUGACUUGUGGCUAGGGGUGAAAGGCCAAUCAAACUCGGAGAUAGCUGGUUCUCCCCGAAAGCUAUUUAGGUAGCGCCUCGGACGAAUACUACUGGGGGUAGAGCACUGUUAAGGCUAGGGGGUCAUCCCGACUUACCAACCCUUU
rnacentral:rRNA from 1 species